UGACCGCAAGAGGACACAGUGGAGGGGGAGGGAGCAGGUGACUAAAGCCACACCUGAGCUGUGCAGGUUGCUCUAUGGUCUGUGGUUGGUCCAAUCUUGAGCUUCUGAUGAAUAAAUGGACACAAGAAUAAAAGAAUGGACAAGUAGUUUAUGCUUCUGUAAAACUGCAUGCAGGACUGCAGAGGGGUGAGGAGCAGAGCACCAGGAGUGAAGAGUUCUGCUCAAAGCCAGCGUCUGUCUCCCUGACUUCAGUCAAGUCAUCCUUUGCGCCUAAGCCUCAGUUUUCCCUUCUGCAAACGGCAGGGGUUUAAAGAGACAAGGUGGGGUUCAUCAGGGAAGCUUACAUGGAGGAAUGCCAGGCCCUGUGCUAAAUGAUGGAGAUAAAGAGAAAGGAAAAACUUCAAAACUUUUGGUCCCUUGCCCUUAAAGAAAUCAAAGUCCAGAAGGGGAGGCUGAUGGAGCAGAGAGAUCUGAUGUCCUGCAGUAGCUGCUGUGAUGGAGAUCUACGUAGCAGGGA